AAUAAACCUACCUCAACUGAAUCCAGUCUUCUAUCUUAACCAAGACUUCAGACCAGUUUUCAGUGGCAGUCUUCCAGCUAGAAAGCGAAUACAAAGUGAACAGUUUCCACGUUGGUCCCGAGUGCUUCCAAGAGCAUGGAGUCUGAAUGAGGAAUGAGAAAGUCUGAAUCUUUCUCCAGCUUUGCUAGAAUGGGCUCAAGUAUUCAUACACACUCACCGUCAGCUUAUUUUGAUCCGGUUGUCUUUGUGUCUUGUAACAGUGGGUAUUUUCACAAAGCAGCUUUACUGUAAUAAAACCAUACUUUGAGUUCUUCCUAAUAUUCCUGACAUAUUUCUGAAUAUUUCUGACAUUUUCUGCUUUGAUUAGACAAGGGCUUACUCGUCUUCCGUGCGAUCGUCUUCCGUGCGAUGAAGAUUAUGGACCUCCACUGAGAUGAGGCCGACUCUGUGAGAAUCCUGAGGCAUCUACAGAUCUACCAGCUCCAGUUGGACUCUGUGAUACUAAAGAGGAGAUCUGAACUCCAUGUGAU